UACGUAGGGCGCAAGCGUUGUCCGGAAUUAUUGGGCGUAAAGAGCUCGUAGGCGGCCUGUUACGUCUGCUGUGAAAUCCCGGGGCUUAACCCCGGGCGUGCAGUGGAUACGGGCAGGCUGGAGGCAGGCAGGGGAGAACGGAAUUCCCGGUGUAGCGGUGAAAUGCGUAGAUAUCGGAAGGAACACCUGUGGCGAAAGCGGCUCACUGGACCAUUACUGACGCUGAGGCACGAAAGCUAGGGGAGCAAACAGG
rnacentral:rRNA from 1 species